rnacentral:rRNA from 1 species
UACGGGGGGGGCAAGCGUUGUUCGGAAUUACUGGGGGUAAAGGGCUCGUAGGCGGCCAACUAAGUCGGAUGUGAAAUCCCCAGGCUCAACCUGGGAACUGCAUCCGAUACUGGAUGGCUUGAAUUCGGGAGAGGGAUGCAGAAUUCCAGGUGUAGCGGUGAAAUGCGUAGAUAUCUGGAGGAAUACCGGUGGCGAAGGCGGCAUCCUGGACCGACAUUGACGCUGAGGAGCGAAAGCCAGGGGAGCAAACGGG